rnacentral:rRNA from 1 species
UACGGGGGGAGCAAGGCGUUGUUCGGAUUUACUGGGCGUAAAGGGCGCGUAGGCGGCCUCCGCAAGUCAGUUGUGAAAUCUCCGAGCUUAACUCGGAAAGGUCAAACUGAUACUGCGGGGCUAGAGUGCGGAAGGGGGCGAACUGGAAUUCUUGGUGUAGCGGUGAAAUGCGUAGAUAUCAAGAGGAACACCUGCGGCGAAGGCGGGUUGCUGGGCCGACACUGACGCUGAGGCGCGAAAGCUAGGGGAGCGAACGGG